rnacentral:lncRNA from 1 species
GUCUUGUUUGAACGUGAAUGAAUACGUGAUCUCGUUAACUUGCUGAGUGACUGUCAGAUGCUGAGCACUGUCCCAGGUUCUGAAAAUAAAGACCUCGAGCAGACUCUACUGCCAUCUUGGUUUACACGGUUUGAUGAAGCAAGCUAUGUUCUGGAGAUGCCCACAUGGCAAGGAACUAAAGGUGGCUUCUAGCCAACAGCCAGCUAAGAACUGAAGCCCUCAGUCCAACGACCCUCAAGGAACUGAAUCCUGCCAACAACAUGGGAGCUGGGAAGCAGCUCCUUCCCCAGUUAAACGUUCAGCUGAAACCCCAGCCUGGCUGACACCUUGGUUACAGCUCCUGAGAGACCCUGAGCCAUGCCCAGAUGAUAACGGACACUUUGAGAUGAUAAUUGUGUUGUUUUAAGCUGCUAAAUUUGGGUGUAAUUAUUGUGCAUCAAUAGAUAAUAUGCUCUCCCAUGGCAAACCAUUCAAACAAUGCAAGUAACUGCAUCUCACAGAAAGAAU